rnacentral:rRNA from 1 species
CGUCGGUUCAAUAUCAAAAUCCUAUCGCGGUGCUCUUCAGUGAGUGUCGAGAUGGGCCGACAAUUUUACUUUGAACAAAUUAGAGUGCUCAAAGCGGGCUCAAAAUGCUGCUUGAAUAUUUCGUGCAUGGAAUAAUAGAAUAUGAUCUCGGUUCUAUUUUGUUGGUUUUCAGAACUCCGAGGUAAUGAUUAAUAGGGAUAACUGGGGGCAUUCGUAUUGCGACGUUAGAGGUGAAAUUCUUGGAUCGUCGCAAGACGAACAUCAGCGAAAGCAUUUGCCAAAGGUGUUUUUGGUUUUCAGAACUCCGAGGUAAUGAUUAAUAGGGAUAACUGGGGGCAUUCGUAUUGCGACGUUAGAGGUGAAAUUCUUGGAUCGUCGCAAGACGAACAUCAGCGAAAGCAUUUGCCAAAGGUGUUUUCAUCAAUCAAGAACGAAAGUUAGAGGUUCGAAGGCGAUUAGAUACCGCCCUAGUUCUAACCGUAAAUAUGUCAUCUAGCGAUCCGCCGACGUUACUACAAUGGCUCGGCGGGCAGCUUUCGGGAAACCAAAGAUUUUGGACUCCGGGGGGAGUAUGGUUGCAAAGCUGAAACUUAAAGGAAUUGACGGAAGGGCACCACCAGGAGUGGCCUGCGGCUUAAUUUGACGCAACACGCCAACACGGGAAAUCUCACCAGGCCCGGACACACGGGAAAUCUCACCAGGCCCGGACACCGGCCGGAAGGAUUGACAGAUUAACAGCUCUUUCUUGAUUCGGUGGGUGGUGGUGCAUGGCCGUUCUUAGUUGGUGGAGCGAUUUGUCUGGUUAAUUCCGGUAACGAACGAGACUCUAGCCUGCUAAAUAGGCGUCGUCAUUUAGGUGUGCGUGGCUCACGUCACGCAACUCACUGGCGACGUAUUAAAAUUCUUCUUAGAGGGACCGGCGGCUUCGAGCCGCACGAGAUUGAGCAAUAACAGGUCUGUGAUGCCCUUAGAUGUCCUGGGCCGCACGCGCGCUACACUGAAGGAAUCAGCAUGUUCUCCCAGGCCUAGAGGCCCGGGCAACCCGUUGAAACUCCUUCGUGCUGGGGAUUGGGGUUUGCAAUUAUCCCCCAUAAACGAGGAAUUCCUAGUAAGCGCGAGUCAUAAGCUCGCGUUGAUUACGUCCCUGCCCUUUGUACACACCGCCCGUCGCUACUACCGAUUGAAUGAUUUAGUGAGGUCUUCGGACCGACACGCGGUGGCUUCACGGCCGUCGGCGUUGCUGGGAAGUUGACCAAACUUGAUCAUUUAGAGGAAGUAAAAGUCGUAACAAGGUUUCCGUAGGGGAACCUGCGGAAG